UGGGGAAUAUUGGACAAUGGGGGCAACCCUGAUCCAGCAAUGCCGCGUGUGUGAAGAAGGUUUUCGGAUUGUAAAGCACUUUCGGCGGGGACGAUGAUGACGGUACCCGCAGAAGAAGCCCCGGCUAACUUCGUGCCAGCAGCCGCGGUAAUACGAAGGGGGCUAGCGUUGCUCGGAAUGACUGGGCGUAAAGGGCGUGUAGGCGGUUUGUACAGUCAGAUGUGAAAUCCCCGGGCUUAACCUGGGAGCUGCAUUUGAGACGUGCAGACUAGAGUGUGAGAGAGGGUUGUGGAAUUCCCAGUGUAGAGGUGAAAUUCGUAGAUAUUGGGAAGAACACCGGUGGCGAAGGCGGCAACCUGGCUCAUUACUGACGCUGAGGCGCGAAAGCGUGGGGAGCAAAC
rnacentral:rRNA from 1 species